CCUACGGGUGGCAGCAGUGAGGAAUAUUGCGCAAUGGGCGAAAGCCUGACGCAGCGACGCCGCGUGGAGGAUGAAGGCCUUCGGGUCGUAAACUCCUGUCGAGGGGGACGAAAUGGUCUUCCGCUAAUAUCGGGAGGCCUUGACUGUACCCCUGGAGGAAGCCCCGGCUAACUCCGUGCCAGCAGCCGCGGUAAUACGGAGGGGGCCAGCGUUGCUCGGAAUCACUGGGCGUAAAGGGCUCGUAGGCGGUUUGAUAAGUCCUGUGUGAAAUCCCUUGGCUUAACCAAGGAAUUGCGCCGGAUACUGUCGAACUAGAGGCCGGGAGAGGGAAGCGGAAUUCCCAGUGUAGCGGUGAAAUGCGUAGAUAUUGGGAGGAACACCGGUGGCGAAGGCGGCUUCCUGGACCGGUUCUGACGCUGAGGAGCGAAAGCUAGGGUAGC
rnacentral:rRNA from 1 species